CCCUUAGAUGUUCUGGGCCGCACGCGCGCUACACUGUUCGACGCAGCGAGUCUUAACCUUGACCGAAAGGUUUGGGUAAUCUUCAGCAAAGUCGAACGUGAUGGGGAUCGAUCAUUGCAAUUAUUGAUCGUGAACGAGGAAUUCCUAGUAAGUGCAAGUCAUCAGCUUGCGCUGAUUACGUCCCUGCCCUUUGUACACACCGCCCGUCGCUACUACCGAUUGAAUGGUUUAGUGAGAUCUCUGGAUUGACGCUGGCUAGGGGGCGACCCUUGGCCAGACUGCUCGAGAACCUGCUCAAACUUGAUCAUUUAGAGGAAGUAAAAGUCGUAACA
rnacentral:rRNA from 1 species